UUGGGGAUUGUGAUGGAAUAGCAUAUUUGCUUUUUAACCCUUUGCUAGUUUAUAAUUUAUUUCACUAUUUUCAACAACUUCCCGCCUAAAGCAAAGGAAAUAGAAGAGCUGCCAAUGACCAGAGCGGAUUUCUUGCGUUAUGCCACCACCCUGACCCUUGACCACCAACACGGCCAACUACAACCUCGUUCUGACAGACACAGUUCAGUCCAACACUGCAAGGAGCCCCAGCCCACCCUGACCGCUUUGACAGCUCCCCCAGGUGCUGUGUAAAGAGGUUCGGAAGGACGGACACUAUAACUGGGAGGUAGAAAACCUCUAUGUCUUGGCCCUUAUUGUUGUUUGCUGCGCCAGCAUCAUCAGAAAGAAGAUCAACGAUUGCUUUGAACGUAACAGCAAGGUCUGGUGCUUACGACCGACUUUGAUCUACGGCUAGGUCCACCAUGGCCCAGCAGAGAAUCAUACACAAUGUGUCCUAGAGGUUAGUGAAGUGGACCAGCAACUGAGGGAAAACACAUCUGGUUGGGAUUGGGUCUGCAACCUAAGGGCAUCACUGUCCUAGAUGCCAUCACCUGUUGUGCCCUUGACCAAGGCAUUUACCCAUUAAGCUGCUCAACAAGCACUAUAGUAUGGCUGCCUGGAAUAAAGCAGAAGACAAGUUUCUAUUGGACUUCAGUGUACAUUGGACUGAUAAUAACGUAAUCUUCUUCGUCAUAGAAAUGUCCCAUGGAGACUAAACUGCCCAUGGACAAGAAACAUGGUGAUAUGAAGGUUGGUGUGUUUUGUGGACUACCCAGCUGGUCUGAUCUCCUACAAGGUCCAGGUUCCAGACAGCACCAUGGUCCACCUCUACAAGUUCGAGGCCACCUUCACACAACCCCUCUACGCAGGGUUUGGAGUGAGCUCUCUGAAACGGAGUAGCCUCGUCCCCACAGAGCCUUCCAGGUGAAACAUUGAUUACAUCUUGCCCUUUCCUUGUGUGCCACAAAAGACGAUGAAAGACCCAAAGACCUAACAGCAAAUGGCUUUACAAGUGUAUUUAUCCUAGUGUGAUAUAUCAAUAUUCUCUGAGAGCUCAGUGGAGAGCUGUCUUUUGCCUUUUUCUUUUGCUUAUCAAGCCCAGUAUGUGUUAUUCCUGUGCUAGUUUUAGAGUCACUGUGUUCUGCUAAGUGGCCUCUUGUUCAUUUUGUUGCUGAAUAUUUAGAUGUCCUGUGACCUACCGGUAUGCUCUCUUGUUGUUCAAGAUGCACUACCUUAACAUUGAGUGUUUUAUUAUGCUUAUUCUUAUUGUGAAAGCAACAACUGUCGGUAGGAUUGGAACUUGACUGGGUGAAUAAAAGCUUUCUGUAACUUU